GGCAAUUUUCUAGGGGCGCCGCGAAAACUUUUGUAAAAUAUUUAAAAUUGCUAGUGUUUUUGAACUUUUGGUUGAUUAAAAAGAUAAUGUUUAAAAAAAUAUAUAUAUUUUAUGUUGGAAAAACAGAUAACGGUUAAUCAGAUUAAACGCGAGAGACUUCAAAUGAUCGACAAGGAAAUGCGCGUCUGUCUUUCGAAAAUUGAUCCUCGCAUUAAUCUCAUAUGUGCUGAAAAACAAUCUCAACGUUCACAUUAAUUAAAUUUAAGAUUUAUCCUUUGAUUCCUUUAUUAAUAAAAUGUCUUUCAAACUUGUAAAA